UCGCGAAUCAUUCACAAUGGGCGCAAGCCUGAUGAUGCCACGCCGCGUGCGGGAUGAAGGCCCUCUGGGUUGUAAACCGCUGUCAAGAGGGGGGAAACGCGUGGAGUUAACAGCUCCAAACCUGACUGCCCACUAAAGGAAGCCCCGGCAAAACAUGUGCCAGCAGCCGCGGUAAUACAUGUGGGGCAAGCGUUGUUCGGAAUUACUGGGCAUAAAGGGUGCGUAGGCGGUUUGUUAAGUCAGGGGUGAAAGUUUUCGGCCCAACCGGAAAAUGGCCUUUGAUACUGGCGAACUCGAGUGCGUGAGGGGUAACCGGAACGAGUGGUGUAGCGGUGAAAUGCGUAGAUAUCACUCGGAAGGCCAACGGCGAAGGCAGGUUACUGGUACGCAACUGACGCUGAGGCACGAAAGCGUGGGGAGCAAACAGGAUUAGAUACCCCCGUAGUCC
rnacentral:rRNA from 1 species